rnacentral:lncRNA from 1 species
GCUCACAGGGUUAGUAGAACAUGCACCACGGAGAAAGAGGUAUAAGAUCUGUCAUUACGAGACUGAGUUACUACAGCUCCUAGACGUGUAGAUGUGGCACCUUACAAAUGACCCCUGACUCCCUCACCUGACCCCUGACCCCCUGACCCCUUCACUUUUGCUCGAUUUUGAUUCUUUCAUGGAAAGAGUCACAAGGGUACAUACCAUAUCACAUGAUUCAAUUAAGAAUGUUUCCUGUUCACUUAGCUCUCAAGAAUCCAUCCAGACUACCUACACCCGUGCCCUCAGGACUGGAUCCUUGCCAACUCUGCUUUCCUGUCCCUUUAGCCAACAUCCUGGGAUAUGCUACCAGAGGCCAGGGACAGAGAGAGCUGUCUUCCAGCUUUGGGCUCAGAUGGCUUCUAGGGCUGGACCCGUGUGGGAUCCUCCUCUCCACGUGCUGCUGGUCACAGAGAGUUUAAGUACCGAAGACACCUCCCCCAUCUCAGGAGGGAGCCCACAUUACCCAUCAGCCACCAGGGAAGGCUCCCCACAGUACAGUUGUGAAUUAAACAUGCAGCCUAAUGAGUUGAUUUUAUUAGUUUGCAAACGCAUUGAGAACUCGUUAUCAAAAUAAACAUCAAUUCCUUUCA